AGAGUUUGAUUCUGGCUCAGAACGAACGCUGGCGGCGUGGAUAAGACAUGCAAGUCGAACGGGAGAAUUGCUAGCUUGCUAAUAAUUCUCUAGUGGCGCACGGGUGAGUAACACGUGAGUAACCUGCCUCUUAGUGGGGGAUAGCCCUGGGAAACCGGGAUUAAUACCGCAUACGAUUGAAAGAUCAAAGCAGCAAUGCGCUAGGAGAUGGGCUCGCGGCCUAUUAGUUAGUUGGUGAGGUAACGGCUCACCAAGGCGAUGACGGGUAGCCGGUCUGAGAGGAUGUCCGGCCACACUGGAACUGAGACACGGUCCAGACACCUACGGGUGGCAGCAGUCGAGAAUCAUUCACAAUGGGGGCAACCCUGAUGGUGCGACGCCGCGUGGGGGAAUGAAGGUCUUCGGAUUGUAAACCCCUGUCAUGUGGGAGCAAAUUAAAAAGAUAGUACCACAAGAGGAAGAGACGGCUAACUCUGUGCCAGCAGCCGCGGUAAUACAGAGGUCUCAAGCGUUGUUCGGAAUCACUGGGCGUAAAGCGUGCGUAGGCUGUUUCGUAAGUCGUGUGUGAAAGGCAGGGGCUCAACCCCUGGAUUGCACAUGAUACUGCGAGACUAGAGUAAUGGAGGGGGAACCGGAAUUCUCGGUGUAGCAGUGAAAUGCGUAGAUAUCGAGAGGAACACUCGUGGCGAAGGCGGGUUCCUGGACAUUAACUGACGCUGAGGCACGAAGGCCAGGGGAGCGAAAGGGAUUAGAUACCCCUGUAGUCCUGGCAGUAAACGGUGCACGCUUGGUGUGCGGGGAAUCGACCCCCUGCGUGCCGGAGCUAACGCGUUAAGCGUGCCGCCUGGGGAGUACGGUCGCAAGAUUAAAACUCAAAGAAAUUGACGGGGACCCGCACAAGCGGUGGAGUAUGUGGUUUAAUUCGAUGCAACGCGAAGAACCUUACCUGGGCUUGACAUGUAAUGAACAACAUGUGAAAGCAUGCGACUCUUCGGAGGCGUUACACAGGUGCUGCAUGGCCGUCGUCAGCUCGUGUCGUGAGAUGUUUGGUUAAGUCCAGCAACGAGCGCAACCCCUGUUGCCAGUUACCAUCGAGUAAUGUCGGGGACUCUGGCGAGACUGCCCAGAUCAACUGGGAGGAAGGUGGGGACGACGUCAGGUCAGUAUGGCCCUUAUGCCCAGGGCUGCACACGUACUACAAUGCCCAGUACAGAGGGGGCCGAAGCCGCGAGGCGGAGGAAAUCCUGAAAACUGGGCCCAGUUCGGACUGUAGGCUGCAACCCGCCUACACGAAGCCGGAAUCGCUAGUAAUGGCGCAUCAGCUACGGCGCCGUGAAUACGUUCCCGGGUCUUGUACACACCGCCCGUCACAUCAUGGAAGCCGGUCGCACCCGAAGUAUCUGAAGCCAACCGCAAGGAGGCAGGGUCCUAAGGUGAGACUGGUAACUGGGAUGAAGUCGUAACAAGGUAGCCGUAGGGGAACCUGCGG
rnacentral:rRNA from 1 species